GCUCCCUGUGCGGCUGAACAGCUUGCACACCAGUAAGGCCGACCCUGACUGGAUAAUCCAGGCAGGACCAGCAAACAGUAUUUGUCAGGUUAAACAAGUAGGCAAAUGUUUACCAGGUGGUCCAGGAUGGGAUCAGGCAGACAAGGGUUGGCCAAAACAGGUUCAGGCAGGCAUGAGUUAACCACAGCUGGUUCAGUCAGGCAAGGGUUAACCAAGGCAGACAGAAGUUUAAACUAGAUAUGUUCAGGCAGGCAGGGGUUAACCAAGGCAGAGGAGGUUUGUAAUCUAUCUCCUUCAAUGUAUAUUUUUCACUAUUCUCCAUCAAUUGAGUCUCUCUUGGUUGUCAACCCUUGCCAUUCCUCUUGUGACUCUAUCUCAUCCCACUAUUAUCAACGAUCUUACUUAAUGAUGUUGCCUUUCAAAUGUGCUUCUGCUACACCUCACGUUUCUCCUUUCCAAACACCCCACUAGUGCAGGGGCGUUUUAGCAUUUGCCUUGGGCGGCAUUUUUCAGGGGGCGGCAAAAGACGCCGCCCCCCAAAUGCCCAGGGCAAAUGUCUUGUUAGCCUCGCAGUUAACUGACAUGCCGAGCGGGCGGCGCUGGGCAGGAGGCUGGCGAGGGAGCUCUUCCUC